GAUGAACGCUGGCGGCGUGCCUAAUACAUGCCAGUCGAGCGAACAGACGAGGAGCUUGCUCCUCUGACGUUAGCGGCGGACGGGUGAGUAACACGUGGAUAACCUACCUAUAAGACUGGGAUAACUUCGGGAAACCGGAGCUAAUACCGGAUAAUAUAUUGAACCGCAUGGUUCAAUAGUGAAAGACGGUUUUGCUGUCACUUAUAGAUGGAUCCGCGCCGCAUUAGCUAGUUGGUAAGGUAACGGCUUACCAAGGCGACGAUGCGUAGCCGACCUGAGAGGGUGAUCGGCCACACUGGAACUGAGACACGGUCCAGACUCCUACGGGAGGCAGCAGUAGGGAAUCUUCCGCAAUGGGCGAAAGCCUGAUGGAGCAACGCCGCGUGAGUGAUGAAGGUCUUCGGAUCGUAAAACUCUGUUAUUAGGGAAGAACAAAUGUGUAAGUAACUAUGCACGUCUUGACGGUACCUAAUCAGAAAGCCACGGCUAACUACGUG
rnacentral:rRNA from 1 species